rnacentral:rRNA from 1 species
CCUACGGGAGGCAGCAGUGAGGAAUAUUGGUCAAUGGCCGAGAGGCUGAACCAGCCAAGUCGCGUGAGGGAAGACGGCCCUACGGGUUGUAAACCUCUUUUGUCGGGGAGCAAAGCGAGUCACGUGUGACUCAUUGAGAGUACCCGAAGAAAAAGCAUCGGCUAACUCCGUGCCAGCAGCCGCGGUAAUACGGAGGAUGCGAGCGUUAUCCGGAUUUAUUGGGUUUAAAGGGUGCGCAGGCGGAGGUGGAAGUCAGAGGUCAAAUUGCGGGGCUCAACCCCGAAUUGCCGUUGAUACUGCAUGCCUUGAGUGCGCGAGAGGUAGGCGGAAUGUGUGGUGUAGCGGUGAAAUGCUUAGAGAUCACGCAGAACUCCGAUUGCGAAGGCAGCAUACCGGCGCGCAACUGACGCUCAGGCACGAAAGCGUGGGUAUCGAACAGGAUUAGAUACCCCAGUAGUC